AAGUGGGCAGUUGAUCUGGUAGGCAGAACGAAGCAACUCCACAUGGAAGACGGUAAACAGCAGGAAACGACUGUUUUAUCGGUCGGCCGAUUAAAUCGGCUGAUUACAGCCCUUUUCGAAAUAAUUUUCAUCAGCCGGAGUUUUGCGGAUUAAACGCCGAUAUAUUCUUGAUUUCUCAUAAACAAUAAAUACCGUUGAAUGACGUUGCUCCGUUUAAGCUGCAGCCAGGAAACAUUACAGGAGUGGGCGGAGCCGACAGGAAAUUUUGAAAACUAUCAUGGAGAUGGCUGAAGGGGAGGACAAUUCUGUGUGAGACGUGUACGAGAAAUGGCAGAUCUGGUACCUGCAAGACUGAAUACAUGGCUGAGCUUCCCUUGCACGUACCGCCUUCGGCAUCAUGGAAGAUUAACCUGUUUCCUUCGGAAAGACAGUAGAUUGUAUAGUUAUCUCAAAAGGAGGACAUGAACCCCACAACUAUUCAAUCUACUACCUCAGCCUUAAGGACAGAUAGUUGUGCAGGUAGCAGUGGAGGCUUGCUGGUUGAACUGUGAGACACAAAUAAAGACAGAGUAUUUAGAUGUCAGCAUUUACUGAGAACAAAUGGCGAUCAAGUUCAGCCUAAGUAAAGGUUUAAUGCCACACCUUGUCAUUUCAGCUAUGGUGUUUUUCAAAUAUUUUCUUGUGACUGAUGAACAUUUUAGCAUUUAUUGUGAUUUCUUUAGUAGUGAACUACCAAAAACUAAGCAUUGAACCACAUUAUUCAAACACACCCCAAUCAGAACUGUUAGCAUGUUUGAGUAACAGCUUUGCCUUCCAGGAAUAGUUUAAUCUUUAGACUCAUUACAGUGUAAUCUGAGCUGUAAAAUCAAGGCUCAAUUCACUGUAGUGCUAAUGUGUUUAUGGAAGCGAUAGAUAGUAUCUGACCACGUGCGUGAAUGACUGGUGAAAAUCAUUCUGCUAAUUGGCUCGUACUGGAAAUGGGGAAAAAAAAAUUGAUCAGGUCCAAAAUAUAAAUACAUCGCUGUCACCACAGAAAGCAACUUGUGCAACCCUGCGAGGUAAAAAUCACUUACUUCCCGAGAAACUGGCACAGAAUGUAGGGUGAUGAUGCCAAGAAUUAGUCCCCGUUUUAUUCUAGAAUUGACCUUUCCACAUCCAGACAGGCAGAAAAAACUAGCUCAGUUUAAACUCGUCUUUCCUCGGCUCCGUCACUUCACAUCCCUACAAACCAGAGAAUAAUGCAAAGGAAAGGUGGAAAAAUAGAAAAUGGCAGAACCUCAGCCAUUUUAUGAAGUUGUCCCAACAUCUGUGGUGCAACCUGUUAACUGCCUCCUCCUUGGACUCCCCAUCUAUAAGCUAGACUCUUUAUGUUGUCCUUAUGUUGGCGUAGGAAAUAUAAAGGGCAACUUAAGGAAAUUGCUUGUUUAUAACAGAUUUCAGAGUUAAGUUGGAUUCACAAAUGUAUGCCAAAAAAUCCUGUUACUUUUUUUGUUUUUGCUUGACGUUUUAAAUUGUGGAACUGAAGGUCUGACUUUGGAAAAUUGCCCUUUUUGCUUGGUGUGAAAGCCACUUCAAGUCUAUUGAAAACGAAGUCUGUUUACUGUGCCAGCUCAAGUCUGGGACACAAGCUGGGUAGAGCCAUCCCAGUCCAGACUCAGCCCUGCUUUGGAGGGGAAGACUGAAGCCAGACAGUGUUAUGGUAGACGGCGAUGGUCAAACCCAUGUAAAAGGCCGAGACGCUUUGCAUAAAUUAGCAUGUGAACCACCGCGGCUGAAAAGCGGCUGGGCUGUUCAUUAACAUUCUGAAUUCCUCUUUGGCCCAAUUAAUGGCGACAGUGAUUGAAAUGUUUUGGCAGGCUGUGUGGCUGUGGUGGCAGGGCAGGCUCACUGGGGCAGAAUGAAAAGGCACUGAGGGCAUCAGAGUGAGAGGCCUGAACUGAGAAGCUGAAUUAAUUAGACAAUAAAUGGUAUCAAACUCUUCUAACAUGCUAGCCAAUGCAGAGCAAACGGAGCGGAGGCAGGAGUUAAGACCAGCGAAAUGGUGUUCUACGGACAGAUUGGUUGUGGCGACAGACUGAGAUUAAUAGCUUCUGGAUUUAUUUAUAGUAAUUGUAGGAGCCAAUGAGCAUGCUACAUUAUAAAUAGGAACCAAUCUUUGUCCGGGCAGGUGUUCCACCCGGAAGGAAAAACAGUUUUGACCACUGAAGAAGCCGCUGAAGAAGCCGGUAAUAGUGAAUUGUUUGUUUUAGAUAAAGACUGUUGAACUGCAAUUGUUUGGAGCAAUAAAUGCACAGAUUAUUGGAACGCGA